rnacentral:misc_RNA from 1 species
GUUUGUCUUGUGAAGUUAUGCAAAUUUUUCCUCUUACUUGCAACUUGAUCAGACGAUGGAUACUUAGAAUCAAGAAUGAACCCUUUUAUGAACCUCUUAAAUUUCCAUAUCACACUGAAGUUCCUCGAAUUCUCCUCUUCGGUUUCCUCGGCUUCACUUGUUCCAUCUUGGCUCCUUUGAUCACCCCCUUCUUGCUGUUUUACUUUUUUCUUGCAUACCUUGUUUACAAAAACCAGGUCAGUUCUGC